GAUGAAGAACGUAGCGAAAUGCGAUAAGUAAUGCGAAUUGCAGAAUUCCAGUGAGUCAUCGAAUCUUUGAACGCACAUUGCGCCCUUUGGUAUUCCGAAGGGCAUGCCUGUUCGAGCGUCAUUAUCACCCCUCAAGCCCUCGGCUUGGUGUUGGACGGUUUGGUGGAGGCCCCCUCGGGGGCUCCUGCCCCUCCCAAAGACAGUGACGGCGGCCUCGUUGGACCCCCGGUACACUGAGUUCUUCACGGGACACGUAUCGGACACAUGGGUUUACGGGACACAGUCUGCCUCCCCUCAGGGAGAAUCUUUCUAAGGUUGACCUCGGAUCAGGUAGGGAUACCCGCUGAACUUAAGCAUAUCAAUAAGCGGAGGA
rnacentral:misc_RNA from 1 species